rnacentral:rRNA from 1 species
AAGGAGGAAGCGAGAAGAAAAAGGAUUUAUAGGGUUUAAAGGGUGCGUAGGCGGUUUGUUAAGUCAGCGGUGAAAGUUUUCAGCUUAACUGGAAAAAUGCCGUUGAUACUGAGAGGCUGGAAUAUGGUUGCUGUGGGUGGAAUGUGUGGUGUAGCGGUGAAAUGCUUAGAUAUCACACAGAAUAUCGAUUGCGAAGGCAGCUCACAAAGCCAUUAUUGACGCUGAUGCACGAAAGUGUGGGGAUCAAACAG